GACGAACGCUGGCGGCGUGCUUAACACAUGCAAGUCGAACGGAAAGGCCCUGCUUUUGUGGGGUGCUCGAGUGGCGAACGGGUGAGUAACACGUGAGUAACCUGCCCUUGACUUUGGGAUAACUUCAGGAAACUGGGGCUAAUACCGGAUAGGAGCUCCUGCUGCAUGGUGGGGGUUGGAAAGUUUCGGCGGUUGGGGAUGGACUCGCGGCUUAUCAGCUUGUUGGUGGGGUAGUGGCUUACCAAGGCUUUGACGGGUAGCCGGCCUGAGAGGGUGACCGGCCACAUUGGGACUGAGAUACGGCCCAGACUCCUACGGGAGGCAGCAGUGGGGAAUAUUGCACAAUGGGCGGAAGCCUGAUGCAGCAACGCCGCGUGCGGGAUGACGGCCUUCGGGAUGUAAACCGCUUUCGCCUGUGACGAAGCGUGAGUGACGGUAAUGGGUAAAGAAGCACCGGCUAACUACGU
rnacentral:rRNA from 1 species